AGAUAGAUAGAUAGAGAGGGAUGGAUGGAUGGACAGAUGGACAGGCAGAUAAAUGGAUAGACAGACAUGUGUAUAAGAAGAUAUUGGUUUAAAAUAUUGUGAAAUGCAUAUGAAUCUUCAAAAAUUGUCAAUUUUUAUUUUUUCAACAUAAGGUUCCUUAUGGAAAAGGUAGCAUGGAGACUUCUUUAACACUGAGAACCUUAGAACUGAAUAGACACAAAAUCACAAGGAACUUUAAAUUGUAAUGUGAUUUCCUGACAUAGAAUCAGAAACCUUCACACACUUCUGUGAAGCCAGACAUCUUUGAAGGAUACAGAGGACACACAGCUAUCAAUAUAUACAGCAGCAUCUUUAGGUAUCUGGAUCCAACCAUCAGGAGCUCUAAGCACUGACCCGCAAUGGCUGCCUGCCUCAGUUUGCACACCAGAUGGAUGCCAAUGCUGGUCUCUGUCAGGAAAGUACACAGAUUUCCUAAUGGUGCUUUCAACAUUAGUUCCUAUUAGAGUAUGUAACUGAAGAGGUAUCAGAGAUAACUCUUAUGUUUCUUUAACGUGAUAGAUGUUCCUCAUAUUUUUCUAAAUUUAGAAAUAUCUUGAACAUUGUGCCAUGUAAAGUAUUGAUUAUCGUUCAUGUGCAUGUUUUAACUUCUGCGAUUUAUUUAUUGACUUUUAAAGCUUCUAAUUUCAACACUAACUUCCAAACGGCAACAGAAGAAAAGUAAAACAACAUUAGGGGCAGAAGAAUAAUUUGGAUCAUGUGCGUUGGAAUAGAGGUACUGAACAGAACCACUCGAGUGGGAAGGGCCCAGGUCACCAUCAAGGAGACUAAAGCUGGGGUAGGAAGAGCAUGAGAAAGUCUCAGAGGUAUUGGGCCUGUACUGGGAAGAUCUUUUCAGAUACCCCUGGAAUGCUCUGAACUCACAGGCGGGGGAUUUACAAGUGGGACUCUUUAUCCUGGUAGCUAGAUGUGGAAAUGGCACUUCCAAGUCCUAUUUGGGGAUGGCUUGCCCAGGGAGCUUGGCUCAGUGGAGUGUAGAAUGAAUGCCAACAUUAACAAUAAUUCUGGUGGAAGUGCAAAUGUCUGCAUCAAGUUCUCAAAAAAUCCUUUUAUGGUCCAUCUGUUUGGACACACCCUGGUUCCAAACCUUGUUUUGCCUCAGGACCCACAUUCUUAGAAACUUGCUAGCUUGCUGAAGACUUGGCCUGCUUCUGCCUUCUUUUCUGCAACACUGACUGGAUGCUAAGAUUCACUCUUUGGCACUGUGACAUUUGAGCCUUUGCAAAAUAUAUUAUGUUUAUUCACGCGC
rnacentral:sRNA from 1 species